CGAAAGCCUGACGGAGCAACGCCGCGUGAGGGAUGAAGGCCUCUGGGCUGUAAACCUCUUUUAUCAAGGAAGAAGAUCUGACGGUACUUGAUGAAUAAGCCACGGCUAAUUCCGUGCCAGCAGCCGCGGUAAUACGGGAGUGGCAAGCGUUAUCCGGAAUUAUUGGGCGUAAAGCGUCCGCAGGCGGUUUUGAAAGUCUGUUGUUAAAGCGUGGAGCUUAACUCCAUUUCAGCAAUGGAAACUACAAGACUAGAGUGUGGUAGGGGCAGAGGGAAUUCCCGGUGUAGCGGUGAAAUGCGUAGAUAUCGGGAAGAACACCAGUGGCGAAGGCGCUCUGCUGGGCCAUAACUG
rnacentral:rRNA from 1 species